ACGACCUUACUUGAACAGGAUCUGUUCUAUAGGCUCGUACCACUGUAUCCUUGAUUUCUAAGGAGACAGGAAACCAAGUCUGGUUGAUGAGACGUGGCCAUUAGACUAGAGCGUGAUUAACAAUCUCUGUGGCUCAAUGGGUCAUGGAGCCGUAGAGGAUCGUUCUCAGCUCCAACUAUGGUGCUGGGAUGGUCUAAUGGCUGUCUGACAGACU
rnacentral:snoRNA from 2 species